rnacentral:rRNA from 1 species
GCCAGACUCCUACGGGAGGCAGCAGUGGGGAAUAUUGCACAAUGGGGGAAACCCUGAUGCAGCGACGCCGCGUGAGUGAAGAAGUAUUUCGGUAUGUAAAGCUCUAUCAGCAGGGAAGAAAAUGACGGUACCUGAUUAAGAAGCCCCGGCUAACUACGUGCCAGCAGCCGCGGUAAUACGUAGGGGGCAAGCGUUAUCCGGAUUUACUGGGUGUAAAGGGAGCGUAGACGGUGAUGCAAGUCAGAAGUGAAAGCCCGGGGCUCAACUCCGGGACUGCUUUUGAAACUGUGUGACUGGAGUGCAGGAGAGGUAAGCGGAAUUCCUGGUGUAGCGGUGAAAUGCGUAGAUAUCAGGAGGAACACCAGUGGUGAAGGCGGCUUACUGGACUGUAACUGACGUUGAGGCUCGAAAGCGUGGGGAGCAAACAGGAUUAGAUACCCCGGUAGUA